UGGGAUGUCUCUGAGUGUUCAAAAAUGUUUUGCUGAUGAGUAAUUAUUUUCUAGCCUUGAGCAAAUAUUGACAAUUUUCAAAGUAAUUCUGGAUUACUACAAUUUAAACUGUAUAAUUCUCCUCCAAGACUAAGGAUGUUCUCUGACAGCAGCUGCAUCCAUGUUAAUGCUGAGGAAUCUGGGACUCAGAGAGGUGAAGUGACUUCCCAAGAUCACAAAUAUCUGCAAAAGUCAACAUUAUGAAUAACUGAAAAGAAGAUGACAUAAGAAAUACAAUAAAGUCAGCAAGUGUCAACUUGACUGGAUUAAGGAAUAUCUAGAGAUCUGGCAAAGCUUCUGUGUGUUUGUGAGGAUGUUUCAAAGAAGAAAUUGGAGUUGUAUACCAGGACAGUCUAAUGCCUUGAGUAGGUGACCGGGUGUGCACUACCCCUCAAUGAGCUGUGAACAGGCCUACUGCUGUUUCAUAAUGUGCAUUUGGCUUUCCUGGACCUACCGUGAAGAUCUUUUAAAUCUCAGUUUUCUUCCAGUACAGAUAAUUCAGAAGUCAAUUUUAAGAAACAAGACUUGUGAGUCAUCAAUGUAUAGGUGGUUACUGAAUAUAGAGAUUUAUCCAGGAUGAUCAUUAAAUUGAGCCAAUGGAUGAUUGCCUGACAGAAAGAAGAAUACACUUUUAGGAUAACUAUGUGUGAAGUUGUUUGGGCCAAUAAGCAACACGAAGAAAGAGUUCCCAGCCCCAUUUCAAACUGAAGUGUUUUAAGAAUAUGAAAUGUACCUGAUGGAAUCUUAGAUGGCUAUUUUUCCUCUGACAUAACUAAAUUGACUCAUGUGUGGCAAAACUUCUUCAAUAUAAAACAAAUCACUUUCUCAAACCA
rnacentral:lncRNA from 1 species